CAGAUUGCAAUGUGGUUUUAAUAAAUGGCAGGAGUAACAAACACAGCAGGGGCUGGCUCUGCUGAAGUUUGUUUGCUAAACCCUGUGCUUGAGUAGGGGAGGGCUCCUGCCUCAUCACUGUUAUCUCAGAUAACAAAUUAAUUUUUUUUAGAAAUAACCUUCCUCUCUUCCUGCAAGCUCUGGGAGAGCUGAACUCUUCCCACGUCCCUCCUGCAAGGAGCGGGUGAAGGCUGCUCCAGGAGCUCGGGCAGGCAGUAAAAUGCAGCUGUUUGAGCAGGGAACAAAUUCUCCAUCUACAGCCUUUUAAAGAUGCCACCUUUUUGGUGUCUCACUGCUCGACCUUGCUUGCCACAUUCAUAUGAAUUGUGCUGAUGCUGAAAAGAGGUCAGAAGGCAAAGGUAACAGCGCUGGAACAGCAGUCAGCCUUCUGCAGCUGGGAUUGCGGCUCACAGGAUGUGCGAGCCAGGGUUUAAUGAGAGUGUGUUCCACCAAUCUUGUAGUGGAGUGGAAAUUGGCACCUGUGACUAUUUCUCCCUCUAAGAGGAGGAAGGAACAGUGAGAGCAAGAGAAAAGAGCUGGAUUGUUCAUGGCUGCCUAAGGUAGGUCAGUCGUGUUUUAACAGAGUGGAACAGUCCAGGCUGAUGGUGUGGAGUGUGCUGUGAAAGUGAGCGUGGUUUGUCUAGGCCUGUUACUCUUUCUAUAACAAUUCCUAAUUACAGUGUAUGCCACGAUCACUUGUAAUUAAAUAGAGCUCCCCCAAACACAUUCUCCCCUGUGAGUUUUGUCUGCUCCCUUGCUAAGCCUGGAGUUAUAGAGCUGCUGGCAUGGGAGCCUCUGC
rnacentral:lncRNA from 1 species